rnacentral:rRNA from 1 species
GCGAGUCGAACGAUGAACCGCUUUCGGGCGGGGAUUAGUGGCGAACGGGUGAGUAACACGUGGGCAAUCUGCCCUGCACUCUGGGACAAGCCCUGGAAACGGGGUCUAAUACCGGAUAUGACUGUCCGCCGCAUGGUGGAUGGUGUAAAGCUCCGGCGGUGCAGGAUGAGCCCGCGGCCUAUCAGCUUGUUGGUGAGGUAGUGGCUCACCAAGGCGACGACGGGUAGCCGGCCUGAGAGGGCGACCGGCCACACUGGGACUGAGACACGGCCCAGACUCCUACGGGAGGCAGCAGUGGGGAAUAUUGCACAAUGGGCGAAAGCCUGAUGCAGCGACGCCGCGUGAGGGAUGACGGCCUUCGGGUUGUAAACCUCUUUCAGCAGGGAAGAAGCGAGAGUGACGGUACCUGCAGAAGAAGCGCCGGCUAACUACGUGCCAGCAGCCGCGGUAAUACGUAGGGCGCAAGCGUUGUCCGGAAUUAUUGGGCGUAAAGAGCUCGUAGGCGGCUUGUCACGUCGGUUGUGAAAGCCCGGGGCUUAACCCCGGGUCUGCAGUCGAUACGGGCAGGCUAGAGUUCGGUAGGGGAGAUCGGAAUUCCUGGUGUAGCGGUGAAAUGCGCAGAUAUCAGGAGGAACACCGGUGGCGAAGGCGGAUCUCUGGGCCGAUACUGACGCUGAGGAGCGAAAGCGUGGGGAGCGAACAGGAUUAGAUACCCUGGUAGUCCACGCCGUAAACGGUGGGCACUAGGUGUGGGCAACAUUCCACGUUGUCCGUGCCGCAGCUAACGCAUUAAGUGCCCCGCCUGGGGAGUACGGCCGCAAGGCUAAAACUCAAAGGAAUUGACGG